AUUGAACGCUGGCGGCAGGCUUAACACAUGCAAGUCGAAUGAGUGGCGGACGGGUGAGUAAUGCUUGGGAAUCUAGCUUAUGGCGGGGGAUAACUCCGGGAAACUGUAGCUAAUACCGCGUACCAUAGGCUGAGCCCAAGCGGGAUUAGGUAGUUGGUGAGGUAAAGGAUCACCAACCCGAUGAUCUCUAGCCGGUCUGAGAGGAUGACCAGCCACACUGGGACGGAGACACGGCCCAAGCGCCUACGGGAGGCAGCAGUGGGGAUUAUUGCGCAAUGGGGGCAACCUGACGCAGCCAUGCCGCGUGAAUGAAGAAGGCCUUCGGGUUGUGAAGUUCUUUCGGUAGCAAGGCGUUAACUACAGGAGAGGCACCGGCUAACUCCGUGCCAGCCGCCGCGGUAAUAC
rnacentral:rRNA from 1 species